rnacentral:misc_RNA from 1 species
GUUUCUUCCAUUCUCGUUUUAUACGCACAAACUUAUACACAUUAAAUAAAUAAGAUAUGACGAUGUAAACGGACACUAAUUUGGUUUAGUUCAGGAAAUGCGUGUGUAAAGGUGGAUUUUAGGGCAAAAACUGAAAUAUAUAACUGGAAUGACAUGUUGACCUAAUUGAUUUUGUUUUACAAUGAGAAGAUAGCAAAGGAAAAUAAGCAAUGGUUAGUAUACGAGGAGUUGCCUUCCGACUGUAUCCUAGAGCUAGAUUUGUUAAACUGAUUUGCUAUGGACUUUUUUUCCUGACGUUAUCGUUCAUGUUGCUCAUGUUUACGAUCGACAGUAGUCCAACGAUCAACUACCCGUAUAACAUGUACAAAGGAUAUCCUUUGACAAUUUAUGACAAUCCAUACAACAUCAACAAAACAGAAUGCAAGAAUUUUAAAGUGGUUAUUGUAGUACAUUCCGCGGUUACUAAUUUCAACAAACGUGACAGUCAUCAGAAAAACCUGGGGUAAUAAGGCCUUACUUAGAAGGUACGGAACGAAACUUGUGUUUUUUCUAGGAAUGCCACUCAAAAAAGACUUGCAAAUUCUUAUUAAUGAAGAAUCGGUGAAGAACGAUGAUAUAGGUACAAGGACAUUUUCUAGAUUCAUAUACAAACAUAACUCAUAAAGCUGUACUUUGGCUGCGAUGGAUAAAUGAAAAUUGUCCGAGUGUACAAACUGUGUUGAAACUAGAUGACGAUGUUUUUGUAAAUGUGUUUUCAUUUCAUCAUCAUUUACCAUUGUUUGAAAUUGAAAGUAGGCUGAAUAGACAUAUUUGGUGUGAAGUUGUACCAGUGGGUACCCAGCGCAUUCAACGAAAAACUGGCCUGAAAUGGCGGGUUGCUGAACAUGAAUUAAUGGGCUUGACACAUUACCCUUUAACACUAUGUCGUGGAUAUUUUGUGGUGAUGACGAUAGAAAGUGUCAGAACAAUGUAUGAGGCAGCCAAGGAAACACCUUUUUUCUGGAUUGACGACUUUUAUAUAUUUGGGACUCUAGCAAAUAAAACAGGAGCUCGUUUUUCAUCGCUUCAGUUUCUCGCCGAAGAAAAGGAUGCAUUCAGCUGUUUUACAUCAACAAAAUCUAUCUGCCAAAUAAUGGGAGUAUUACUAGAUUCAAACGAUGUUAUGGAGACAUUUUGGAAAUACACAAUUCAGCAGUUGAAUUCCAUUUCGUGAUCAAUGUUAUUAUUUGAUAUCGUGGGAAAGAGACCUUAUGUACACAUUUUUAAGAUUUAAGAAAUUUUCACUUUCAAUAUUUAUCUUUAUUAUUAUUAAGAAUAUAUAUUUACUCAUAUGCAUAAACUGCCGUGAAACUAUAUAGAUAUUGAUGACAAAAUGGUCAAUUGGUUUGUUUCAGUUUGAAGUUCAUGCAUCACUGAAUAUAUCUAUUCUCUGUUUAAUUUUGAGUGUGUCAUUUUUUUCUAAUGAAAUGAUUAUUACGAAAUGCUUAAAAGUAUUUUCAAAUUUGAGCCGCGCGAUGAGAAAACCCAACAUAAUGCAUUUGCGACCAGCAUGGAUCCAGACCAGUCUGUGCAUCCGCGCAGUCUGGUCAGGAUCCAUGCUGUUCGCUUUCAAAGCCUAUUGCAAUAAGAGAAACCAUUAGCGAACAGCAUGGAUCCUGACCAGACUGCGCGGAUGCAAACGCAUUAUGUUGGUUUUCUCAUGGAGCGGCUCAUUUGUAAAGAUAAUGCACUGGGACAUUAUUACAGCUACACGGAAACGAACAUAUCUAACAAUUUUUUGAAAAAAUGAUAUAUAUAUAUAUCAGUUAAAUCGUUUUGUCAAAUAAUGAAUGUUUAAAAAUUGUUCAAUUGUCACGUAAAGCAACUCUUUCUUUCCAUGAUUUGGUGGGGUUCAAAUAUUUCUUUGAAAAUUACGGAAUUAAUCAUUUAGAACUUAUUUCUUUCUGUCGUGACUUCUUUACUUCAAAAACAAUCUUCUAAACACCUAAUAUUUAAUGCUUCGUUCCCUGGUGAAUUACUUAUUACUGUUGUACAAUUGUAAGGGUUUCGUAUGGACAGUCUACAACAUGAGUUUAAAGCAUCCAAUUUCAAGUAGUAAGGCUAUUCAGAUGUAUGUAUUUCAAAAUGUACACAUACACAAUGUUAUUAUACUGUAGUAAAACUACCUCAUAAUAUUGAGAUAAUACUUAAUGGGGUUUAGACAUUUGAAAAAAAGUGCCUUGCAAUUUAUUGUAAUCAGGGAAAAUAAAUACUAUAGCAGUUUGAUAUAUUUCAAAAUGGUUUUGUGAAUUUUCAAUCUUAAAUUAUAUAUAUAACUAGCAUACUUUCUUCAUUUUUAUUCCAUACUACAAUUUCGCUUUAGUUUUAAAAUUUCUUCAAUUAUUUUUAAAUAUUUGAUUAAAUGUUAUGAAGUGUCGAAUCAAUUAUAUAUUUUAUUUAGUUAAAUCAUUUACAAAAUGUAUAUAUAUUUAGAUGCUGUUAAUAUAUUUUCAUUUCACAGCUUUUAUGUCAUGAUGAUAAUAUGUUUAAUCACUGACAAACAAUAAUCAAAUCUAUCAGCAGAUCCUUUGAAAAAGUAGAAUGCAACCAAGAAAAAUAAGGCAGUCUAAUAAUGUUUUCAUUAUAGCAGUUGAAACUACAACAGUUUCAUCAAAAAAAAAUCCCAAAAUACGUAGAAACUAAAUUUCUUUUUACAUAUUUUUCUCUUUCUGACCCUAAUAAAUUGGGUAAUGUCUGAUGGAACAUGCUAACCUUAUAUCCGGUAUUAAAUGCUAUUAACUUA